UAAUCCAUUGACAGCACAUCAUCUUCUAGUUAUGAUAGAUCCCCGUUUGAUGCUUAGAACCUUUCUUUUUUUCUAGCCCGGCUACAUCAAUGAUGUUGUGUGGAAAAGUAAGAAGCACGUGCGCCACAAGGGUUGCUGACAUUUCGAAA
rfam:Populus trichocarpa isolate Nisqually-1 chromosome 15, whole genome shotgun sequence.